rfam:Zea mays cultivar B73 chromosome 5, whole genome shotgun sequence.
AGCAAAAUGAUGAGACUGGAACACCUGAAUGUUAUCAUGUGGAGAGCACACAUAUGGUCUUCAAAUUUCUCUGGUUGCU